AGUGGCUCUGUGAGGAUCAACGAGGCCUGAGGAUGUCACAGUCUGCCUGCUUGGCCACUGUGACUUUGGCAACAUCUGAUUAUAUUUAUUCAUCCAAGAAUUAUGAGCUACUCAAGUGCCAGGUGAUAAGUGGAGACAUCAUGCAGGAGUUCCCAUUCUGGAUUCAAACACUUGGUGAAAAAAGUGGCCUCUGGAGCUUCAUCAGUGUCCCUGUUUGGUCAGCAGCACUCGUAACAGUCGUUGUGGUCAUCAGCAUUUGAACGAGAGCUCAGGGGAAAAACACACGGAUGGAUGAAAACACUGAGUGUGUAAAACACAUUUAAUUUACUCCAUCACACUGUGUUUGACUUUAUGUAAGAUUAUAGAUGUUUAAGAUUUAAUUAUGGUUUUAUUAGUGUGUUAUCACCUGGAAUUAUAAACUGUUCUUUUAGCAUCAAAUGAACCCUUCAUUGCAGGGAGGCUGUGGCUCAGGAGGCAGAGCAGGUCACCUACUAAU